GGCUGAGCGUGUGUGCCUGCUGACUGCGUGAACCCAGUCAGGCUGGCCCAUGUGAGUCAUAUAUGCAAGUCCCAGCAAUGGCAACUGUUGUUAGCGGUUAGUCCCAUAGUUGCGGUACAGCUUUAGGCAGCGGGCUUUAAUUCAGCCUAUUCCCGAGGAUGGGAAGUGUGAGUCUUGUGCACUGAGGGCGAGGGUGGCUGUUGCAGUCCGAU